rnacentral:rRNA from 1 species
GAUGAACGCUGGCGGCGUGCCUAAUACAUGCAAGUAGAACGCUGAAGGAGGAGCUUGCUCUUCUGGAUGAGUUGCGAACGGGUGAGUAACGCGUAGGUAACCUGCCUGGUAGCGGGGGAUAACUAUUGGAAACGAUAGCUAAUACCGCAUGACAACAGUUAUUGCAUGAUAACUGUUUAAAAGGGGCAACUGCUCCACUACCAGAUGGACCUGCGUUGUAUUAGCUAGUUGGUGAGGUAACGGCUCACCAAGGCGACGAUACAUAGCCGACCUGAGAGGGUGAUCGGCCACACUGGGACUGAGACACGGCCCAGACUCCUACGAGAGGCAGCAGUAGGGAAUCUUCGGCAAUGGACGGAAGUCUGACCGAGCAACGCCGCGUGAGUGAAGAAGGUUUUCGGAUCGUAAAGCUCUGUUGUAAGAGAAGAACGAGUGUGAGAGUGGAAAGUUCACACUGUGACGGUAUCUUACCAGAAAGGGACGGCUAACUACGUG